rnacentral:rRNA from 1 species
UACGUAGGGACCAAGCGUUGUUCGGAUUUACUGGGCGUAAAGGGCUCGUAGGUGGCCAACUAAGUCAGACGUGAAAUCCCCAGGCUUAACCUGGGAACUGCGUCUGAUACUGGAUGGCUUGAAUUCGGGAGAGGGAUGCAGAAUUCCAGGUGUAGCGGUGAAAUGCGUAGAUAUCUGGAGGAAUACCGGUGGCGAAGGCGGCAUCCUGGACCGAGAUUGACACUGAUGAGCGAAAGCCAGGGGAGCAAACGGG